CGUAGGUGACCUGCGGAGGGAUCAUUA
rnacentral:rRNA from 2 species